CGAAAGCGGCGGGAAGUUCGUACUGGGCGGAAGGCGGCGUUCCUGCGGCUGGGGUGAAAAUGCCUCGUGUAAAAACAGCUCAAGCUGGGAGACAGGGCCCUGCAGAGAGACAUCUUGCAGAACAAUUUGCUGUUGGGGAGAUACUAACUGACAUGGCAAAGAAGGAGUGGAAAGUAGGAUUGCCCAUCGGCCAAGGUGGCUUUGGCCGUCUCUAACUUGCUGAUAUGAAUUCUUCAAAAUCGGUUGGCAGCGAUGCACCCUGUGUUGUAAAAGUGGAACCCAGUGACAGGGGACCUCUUUUUACUGAAUUAAAGUUCUGCCAGCGAGCUUGUAAGUCAGAGCAGAUUCAAAAAUGGAUGCGUGCCCAUAAACUGAAGUACCUGGGUACUCCUAAGUAUUGGGGGUCUGGUCUACAUGAUAAGAAUGGAAAAAGUUACAGGUUUAUGAUAAUGGAUCGCUUUGGGAGUGACCUUCAGAAAAUAUAUGAAACAAACGCCAAAAGGUUUUCUCGGAAAACUGUCUUGCAGCUGAGUUUAAGAAUUCUGGAUAUUGUGGAAUAGAUUCACGAGCACGAGUAUGUGCAUGGAGACAUCAAGCCCUCAAAUCUUCUGAGCCACAAGAAUCCCGACCAGGUGUACUUGGUCGAUUAUGGACUUGCUUAUCGGUACUGCCCAGAAGGAAUUCAUAAAAAGUACAAAGAAGACCCCAAAAGGUGUCACGAUGGCACUAUUGAAUUCACCAGCAUUGACACACACAAUGGUCUGGCCCCAUCAAGACGUGGUGAUCUGGAAAUCCUUGGUUAUUGCAUGAUCCAGUGGCUUACGGGCCAUUUUCCUUGGGAGCAUAAUUUGAAAGAUCCUAAAUACGUCAGAGAUUCCAAAAUUAGAUACAGAGAAAAUAUUGCAAGUUUGAUGGACAAAUGUUUUCCCGAGAAAAACAAUCCAGGUGAAAUUGCUAAAUACAUGGAAACAGUGAAAUUACUAGACUAUACUGAAAACCUCUUUAUCAGAAUUUGCAAGAUAUUCUUUUGCAGGGACUAAAAGCCAUAGGAAGUAAGGAUGAUGGCAAACUGGACCCCAGUGUUGUGGAGAAUGGAGGUUUGAAAGCAAAAACAAUGACUAAGCGAAAGAAAGAAAUUGAAGAAAGCACAGAAUCUAGUGUUGAAGAUAUGGAAUGCUCAAAUGCUCAGACAGAGACCACUCAAACUCGUUCAAGAACCAGAAGGAGAGUCCAGAAGUAA